rnacentral:rRNA from 1 species
UACGUAGGGCGCGAGCGUUGUCCGGAUUUAUUGGGCGUAAAGAGCGUGUAGGCGGCUAGGUAGGUCCGUUGUGAAAACUCGAGGCUCAACCUCGAGACGUCGAUGGAAACCAUCUAGCUAGAGUCCGGAAGAGGAGAGUGGAAUUCCUGGUGUAGCGGUGAAAUGCGCAGAUAUCAGGAAGAACACCCGUGGCGAAGGCGGCUCUCUGGUACGUGACUGACGCUGAGACGCGAAAGCGUGGGGAGCAAACAGG